rnacentral:rRNA from 1 species
AGGAAAUAGAUACCCAGGUAGUCCACGCCGUAAACGAUGAGCACUAGUUAUUGGGGGUAUUGACUCCCUCAGUGACGCAGCUAACGCAUUAAGUGCUCCGCCUGGGGAGUACGGUCGCAAGACUAAAACUCAAACAAAUUGACGGGGGCCCGCACAAGCGGUGGAUUAUGUGGUUUAAUUCGAAGCAACGCGCAGAACCUUACCUAGGCUUGAACUCCUACGAACCUCUUGUAAUGGAGAGGGUGUCCGCAAGGAAAUGUAGUGAGAGGUGCUGCAUGGCUGUCGUCAGCUCGUGUUGUGAAAUGUUGGGUUAAGUCUCGCAACGAGCGCAACCCCUAUCGUCUGUUGCCAGCAUUAAGUUGGGCACUCUGACGAGACUGCCUGGGUUAACCAGGAGGAAGGUGGGGAUGACGUCAAGUCCUCAUGGCCCUUAUGUCUAGGGCUACACACGUAAUACAAUGGCGCGUACAAAGGGAAGCGAACUCGCAAGGGGGGUCAAAUCUCAAAAAGCGCGUCUCAGUUCGGAUUGAAGUCUGC